rnacentral:rRNA from 1 species
AGUGAACGCUGGCGGUAGGCCUAACACAUGCAAGUCGAACGGCAGCACAGUAAGAGCUUGCUCUUACGGGUGGCGAGUGGCGGACGGGUGAGGAAUACAUCGGAAUCUACUUUUUCGUGGGGGAUACCGUAGGGAAACUUACGCUAAUACCGCAUACGACCUACGGGUGAAAGCAGGGGAUCUUCGGACCUUGCGCGAUUGAAUGAGCCGAUGUCGGAUUAGCUAGUUGGCGGGGUAAAGGCCCACCAAGGCGACGAUCCGUAGCUGGUCUGAGAGGAUGAUCAGCCACACUGGAACUGAGACACGGUCCAGACUCCUACGGGAGGCAGCAGUGGGGAAUAUUGGACAAUGGGCGCAAGCCUGAUCCAGCCAUACCGCGUGGGUGAAGAAGGCCUUCGGGUUGUAAAGCUCUUUUGUUGGGAAAGAAAAGCAGCAGGUUAAUACCCCGCUGUUCUGACGGUACCCAAAGAAUAAGCACCGGCUAACUUCGUG